rnacentral:rRNA from 1 species
UGAGGAAGGAGAAGUCGUAACAAGGUUUCCGUAGGUGAACCUGCGGAAGGAUCAUUGUCGUAUCCCGACCUCGGCGCACUCGCGAACCGUCGUCCCGACGCCGCCGCCCCCGCUCGUCGCGGGGCGGCGAACCUCACCUUCUACCCGGCGCGGUCCGCGCCAAGGAACACCGCGAUGCGGACGGGGGCGCCGGAGUCAGUUCCCCGCUCCGCGCGGGGGACGCCCGGCGCCCGUCGUUCGAAUUCGACCUGACGGAAAACGACUCCCGGCAACGGAUAUCUAGGCUCUCGCAUCGAUGAAGAACGUAGCGAAAUGCGAUACGUGGUGUGAAUUGCAGAAUCCCGUGAACCAUCGAAUCUUUGAACGCAAGUUGCGCCCGAGGCCGUCCGGCCGAGGGCACGCCUGCCUGGGCGUCACGCCUCGCGUCGCUCCCCCCUCCUCGCCCGCCCGGCGCGGCGGCGGCGGAGGCGGGAUGCGGAGAUUGGCCUGCCGUGCUCCGGUGCGGCGGGCUGAAGCGCCCGACCCCGCGGGACGGGGGCGAGGACGCGGCGAGUGGUGGACAGACCGGCUCGCAGCAGCGGCGUCGCAUCGUCGCCGCGCCCCUCGUUCCCGCGCGUACGCGGAGGAGAACGAACCCGACCGCGAGCGUCGCACCCGCGACCGCUCCGACCGCGACCCCAGGUCAGGCGGGGCCACCCGCUGAGUUUAAGCAUAUCAAUAAGCGGAGGAA